ACCAGGGAGCAAUUUCCUCCCUCUGGCAAAAGCCCACCCACAGCCAUUGGGUUAAGGCUCUUGUGGAGCACAAGGAGAGCCACCGAGGUGGUGACUGCAGCACCAUGGGGGGCUUGGGACCAAAGGGAGACAGAUGCAACCCCAUUUUUGAGCUGUCCCUGGGUCCCCCAGGAAGGGGUAUUAGGUCAGGUCUGGGACUGGUGAGAACACCUGAGAAACACUGAAACCAGCAGUAUAAGACAUGCCUGGAGUGGCUGGAACACCUGUGGGGUCCUGCAGGACUGCAGGGGAGGGCAGACUUCCACAGUCACUUCACGAAGUCGCAUUCAGAAGCAGCCAGCCAAAUCAGAUUCACAAUGAGCAGCAGGAUGGACUCUCAGCUGAGCAUUUUC